AUAUAUAUAUAUAUAUAUAUAUAUUUGUUUAAAUAAAACUGAUAUAAGUUGUUUGAAAUAGUUGAUUGUUUAGAUGCACAAGCUAUUGAAAGCUUAUAUGAAAAAUUAAGUUGACACUAUGGAGAAUACAAUAGACAAUUUAGUUAACGCUUUGAAACCUUCAUCAAGUUCCUCAAGAAAGUUUUUCAUGGUAAAAUGGUAGUUCAGUGGUCUAUUCAGGCAGCACGUAGAAAACAAAUAAAAACUCGACUAUUCUGAAAUUAGAGCUGAGAUUUCUAUACCAAUAAUAUUGAUAUCAAUCAAUAAUGGUUUAGUUAACUAUAAUCAACUGUUGUAUUUUUUGUUUAUUUUGCAUUUUUCAAUAAUUUUCUUUUACUUAUAAUAUGCUAUCGAUUAUACUCUACAGAAUAUAAUCGUUUUUAUUUGCAAAGUAUGACUUCGCUUGAAAAAUUUUCCUAUUUUUUUGUAAAAUUAUUAAUUUAUUUAAAUAUAUCAUAUUACACUUUACUUACUUUUAUUUCUCUUUAUACCUUUUAUUUCCUAAAUAAAUAUUAGACUAUAAAAAUAUUAAGACUAUAAAACGCCAAAAAUCAAUGAAAAAGAAAAAAGAAAGUUAGAGCAACAAUUAACAUAACUAUCAGUGAAAUUCUGAAUUUGUUUAAAAACUUAUCUACUAAGCAAAUUGAUGAUUUAAAUGAUGUUAUGUGUGAAAGAAUUGUUGGGAGAAAUUUUUGCCAUGAAUGGUAUGAUUCCGAUACAGCAAUGACAGUCUUGUAUAAUGGCAGAGUAGAAAAACUUAAAAAAGCACAGAAAGGCAUUAUAUACACUAUUUCUUAUUGGACUAGAGAAGAAAAUGAUACUGAAGCAGUUGAUUAUUAUAUGAAAAAAUUCCAGCUAGUUGCUGACAUUGUAUCCAGUCAGAGGGGGAACCAUCUAUAACUAUCACAAAGCAUUGUGUGAUGUAUUUUUAUGCAUUUUAAAGCAUUGUGUGAUGUUAGAGGGACACACCCUUUCUCUGAGUUACUGUGCGUCGCUAGUGUAAGUUGUAAUGUACUAAAAAUUAAUUUAUAUUUUUUAUACAAGGUUGAUUUUUUUAAUAAAGGUAAAAAAUACUGAUUUGGUAUAUAAAUAAGUAUUUGGGGGAAGUCUGAAAGGAAAUUAAAACAACUACUUUCAUAUGAAUAUUAAUUAAUAUUCACACUUUUAAUAAUAUAUUUAUGUUUGUUUAGAUUUAAGGUGAAGGGACACAUGCCCUCAAUUCGAUAUGCACGGCUAGUAUAUGUUCUAACCUAUUAUAAUAUAAUUUGUAUUUUAUUUAUUCUAUAUCUACUUUUUUUUAAAGAAAUUCAAAAAUAGUGUUUUAAAAUAAUCAUUUUCAAUUUUAGGGUGUUUACCCCUCUCCCACAUGCUCCCAUUUAUUAGGUCAGUCCUACCGCUUCUUCUGAAAAAACUCCUUAGUCGAAAAAAAAAAUUAAAUAAAAUUUUCUUUUAUCAACAGGGUCUUUUAAUAAUAGGGUGUUUACCCCUACUCACAUACACCCUGACUCUAAGAUGUACCUCUCGUAUUGGUCUAGAAAGAAAUUAAAACAACUACUUGCAUAUAGAAAAAUAAAAAACAGUUUUUUUUUAAAAAAAUUUAUUGGUAAAAAAUUGAUAUUAUGACAGUAAAGGUGGGGUUUGGGUGCUCCCUCUAGCCAACGGAUACGCCCUGAGGGUGCGUGCAAAUGUUAAUGUGUAGGUUACUCUUAUAUCUAUCUAUUGACACCAAGUUUUAAGGAUUUAGAUAGAGUUCGACAAAGUUUUAAUAAUUUUAGAAAAAAAAAAACUUUAUUUUGACCACAGUUUUAUCAACAAGUCCAUAUAUCCAAAAAUCGGUACUUAAAACGUCAUAACUUUUUUUGAAAUUAUUCGAUUUUGAAAAUUUUUUCACUUUUAAAUUAUUUAAAUGAAGCUCUUUCUAAUGAUAUAUAACAAUCUAGAAUUUAUUCAAUUUAAAUUUUUCAUGUAGCAUACCUAUCUAUAUGAAUAUCCAAGUUGUAGCAACAAUAAAAUACGUUCUUUAGUAUUUUUUUGAUUUUUUUUUUGUCAAAAUGCUUUGUUUACAUAAAUCUUUUUUUUUAGCUAACUGCUUUAAAUAUGUGAUUAAAUUAUAAAUAAUAUCGUUAAAUAUUGUUUAAACAAAAAGUAAUCAAGUUUCAAAAGUGUUUCUAUUUCAAUGUCACAAGACUGUAUAUGAAUUACAUCUUAAUCUCUCUCUCUCUCUUUCUCUAUUAUAAAUAUAUAAUAAAUAUAUUUAUAAUAGAGAUAUAUAUCUCUCUCUUUCUCUAUUAUAAAUAUAUAAAAAAAAAAAGGAUCCAAGAUAGGUAUUGUACUUUGGCUUUUAACAAUUUUUAACUUGAGCAUAAAAAAAAUAAAUCUUUUUUUAAAAAUGGUAAAAGGUUUUUUAUUAAUUAUAUAUUUAUUUUAUUAGUGAUGACAAUGAACCAGAUAAGUAAAAA